UCUGUAGGUUGUUUAGUAAGUCUGCUGUUAAAGACUGGGGCUUAACCCCAGAAAAGCAGUGGAAACUGCUAGACUCGAGUGUGGUAGAGGUAGAGGGAAUUCCUAGUGUAGCGGUGAAAUGCGUAGAUAUUAGGAAGAACACCAAUGGCGAAGGCACUCUACUGGGCCAUAACUGACACUCAGAGACGACAGCUAGGGGAGCAAACG
rnacentral:rRNA from 1 species